CCGAAGCAUCAGAAAAGGCGGUCUCAUCACGAGUUUGCGCCAUAUCAUACGCUAAACUUAUUGUAUAAUCCCUGUAUACUGUUGAACGUAAUUCGUUGAAACGAGUUAUAAAGGCGUGCUUCACCUAAAAAGAAAAUGACACUGAUGCAGUAUUCAAAAAUACAAUAAACCAUUACCAUGACCUCGACAAGAAAUCAUCAGAAAUUUGUGAUCUGACUUUGUGUCCGAAUUAAAUCUUUAGUGGAUGAUUCUUUUCUUAAACGGAUGCAGUAUUCAAAGCAUAUAUUUCCUCUCUGGUUCUGUUAUCUCGUCUCAAUCGUAGAGAAAUUUACACUUCCAAAGAUUACAAAAAAUACAUGUAGCAUCGAAUAUGAAAUUAUAAUUUACCAAAAAAUAAAUAUAAUUUUUAAAUUUGUAAUAUAUUUUGAUAUAGUGAAAAUAAUAUAAACAGCAGA